ensembl:lncRNA
CGGGCUUUGCCCCGUCCCCGCCGAGCCGCCGUCGCGCUGCCUGCCCCGCGGGCCGUGCUGCGAAGCAGAAGUGCACCGAACGAGAGGCUGGGCUCCUUCCUCCGGGGGAGGAACGGGGGAAAAUAGGUGCUCGAGAAAGGGACGGUGACGCCGGCGGAGCCGCGCGUCGUGACACAUCGCGGUGGCUGCUCUUAGGGAGCUCGUAAGGCGGCUCGGCUCCAGAGUACAAACGUGUCCCCGACCGGCAGAAUUCGAAACUGAAUCUAACUCUUGUGAAGAUAAGGCAGGAUUUCGUGUCACGGGCAUUGCUUAGAUUCAAUUUAAAUCUCCUGUUCCAGUAAAAAGCCACACACUUCCCCAAACGCUGGAAAAUCCCUCAUUAAAGUCCUUGGCCAAAAGGGAAUUGCAUUUUGUAUACUCUUAGGCAAACAGUGCUGAAAGAAUGCUACUUGGUUUAGGAAUACCAGUAAUCCAAGUCACGUGUGAGUGCCAUGCUGAUUACAAUACCAUUGUAGUGACACAAAGUCAGCUCAUUCAGCCUCUCGCGGUGGCAAACGUCGGCACAGAAUGAUCAGACAAGAGGCGGGUUUUUUUGCCGGUGAGAUUUGUGCGAGAGCUUCGGCAGGUACAGCCGGCUUCAGAGCUAACACAAACCACGUCCUCCGUUCGGAUGCUCGUUUUGUCCUUCCUAAGCCCUUGCAGUAAUACACGGUUUGAAAACGAGCAGUAAGCACCGCAUUUGUGCUGCGAGGUAGCAGCGGGGUCUGCUUUGUAAAAAUAACUUUGAAAAUAGUUAUUUACAUUACAAAAAAAGCUCGCACAGAACGGUCCGUGCGGAUAUUUUUUUUGCAAAAUACUAUUCGGAGGCGAUGGCACACAGUUCAGCAGGACUGGGCUCUUCUCAGAAGGGUCGGCUCUCCUCCAGGUGCUGCCUCGCAGAGAAGCUGGCCUGGAGAGACACCCGGCUCUUAGGCUUGUUUACUGAUUAGCUUGGGCACGUCAUUCACCCUCUCAGUGUUGCUGUAUGUACAGACUUCACAGCAUGGAGCUGCUUCUCUAAGCAGGUUUUGAAGAUCGGUCGUUCUUUUGUACAACGUUUUGUUCAUGCUGUAUUUUGUUCCAAAAGGAAAGGUCUGAAAUCUGUGGGCAUCAGCUGGGAAUCGGUUUGAGACAAAUACUCUCUGCUGAUUAUAGAAGAAAAAAAAAUGUUACUUGAAGCCAACGGGAGUGCUUUUGUACGUUUCAGCUGAGGUUGAUUCAAACUUUACUGAAUUCAUAUGCAAUGAGUAUGACUGUACUUGAUUGUACCUCAGGCUGUAUGAGAUGAGCACAAAGAUGAUACUAACAGAAGAAUGGCAUCCUAUGAAGGGUGUAAAAACCAGUCCAGUUCCACACACAAAAAGGCCUUGCUGAUACUGCACCUUAGGGCACCUUAGUCAGCUUUAUCUGUGCCAAGGGACAAUUCCAUCUCCAGUAGUCAGACUGGAGACGUGAUGCUUUUGGUGAGCCUUAUGUCUGAUAGGUUUGAGCCAACAGCAAACGAAGCCUGCUAAAUGAGAGUGGGAUGCAUAUUGACAGGGGAAAGCUGCUCAGGGUCGUGGCUGCUUUCCUGUUCCGGCAAGAGGUGCCACAAAACUGUUGGAUGACACUGGAUGAAGGGACUGCAGGCUGAAUGUGACCUUUGUAUUUCCUGAAGGAGUUGACUGUACAAGGUGUAAAUCUUUCUACGUGGCAUCUGACUCAACAACAUUAAACUGUGAAGCUGAGUUCUCCAGGACUGCAGCCCUUCUCUGAAGAGGAGGUGUGAGUACUUAUUGCAUGCUUGAAACAAACAGAAAUGUCUCUAUGACACUGCUAGUGACUGUUUGCUGGAUCCUGCGGGAUGGUGGACAGCCAGGAGCAAACUCCAUGAACUUGCUGAGUUUCCACGUGCACCACAGCUGCCGCGGCUCCUCGCUGUAGUGGAACCGAUGCCCUUCGUGUUGUUUGUUCUCUCAGUGCUGUCAAGCAGGACGUACGUGGGACCUUAUCAUAUCGUUUUGGCAGGCUCUCCGCCAGUUACUGCUGACAGACACCCGUUUAUCAGCCGCAUCUCUGAGACAAGGCGGCCGGCCCGGCUUUCGAGAGUAAAGAGUCCAAACGGUGCCAGCCUCGUCUGCGCGUUAUAAAUAGAAGUACGGUAUCUGCCGAGCGCUCGACGCACCGCUAGGCACGGCAGGCAGGCAGGCAGUGCGGGCUGGAGGCCGGGCAGCGGC